rnacentral:sRNA from 1 species
AAAAAAACAAUCGCUCUCUUCUCUCGUUCAGUCGACGGUUAUUACGACUGAUUUUUGUCGUCACUGAUUUACAUACGGUGGCUGAUUUGUUAGAUCUAUUCGAUUCGAUGGCUGAGUUACUGUUUGAUGGUUAUUCACGAAUGAUUUAUGAUUUAUCAAUGCAAUUGUGUCUGAGUUUGUUAUAUGGUGUGGUUGAGUUAUGGUUUAAUGCGUUUGUAAGAAGUGUUUUCUGAAUUGAUGUAUAUAAUAUUUUCAAAUAUUCUUAGAUUUUAUGAAAAUUAGUAUAAGUGAUUAAUAUAUAUUGUAGAACAAUGUAGGAUUUGUUCCAAAACAUGUAGGACUGAAAUAAUUUUGUUCUGUUACAUUGUUUAGUAUUUU